GAGAUCUCUGAGAGCUCAGACUUCACACCAAACCACACUGAGGGUAAGAAGAAUAAAGGAUGACGGAUAUAGAGAGCCAAAAACCUGUGCCUGAGUAUGACCCCAGCCAUGCAGGAACAGCACCAAUGUAUGCCCCACCUCCAUACAUGCCUCCUCCUUAUCCUACGGGGCCGGUCAUGUACCCUGAACCCGUUCCUGUGCCAGUCAGCUUCAUCCCACCCAACCUGCCACCAGAAGAGACUGGCAUCAGCAAAACAGAAGAAUCGGAUCCAGACC
ensembl:lncRNA